UACGGAGGGUGCAAGCGUUAUCCGGAUUCACUGGGUUUAAAGGGUGCGUAGGUGGGUCUGUAAGUCAGUGGUGAAAUCUCCAAGCUUAACUUGGAAACUGCCGUUGAUACUAUAAAUCUUGAAUGAUGUGGAGGUGAGCGGAAUAUGUCAUGUAGCGGUGAAAUGCUUAGAUAUGACAUAGAACACCAAUUGCGAAGGCAGCUCACUACACAAAGAUUGACACUGAGGCACGAAGGCUAGGGUAGCGAACGGG
rnacentral:rRNA from 1 species